UUGGUCGGCACACGUGGGUUUUUGCUUUAAGCGUGGAUUGAAAGAUGCCUGCCUGUGCAGGAAUGUAGUUUUCAUGGAUGUAUUUGGAACUUUUUCAGCUCCUUUGGAGAGAGAAAGCGGACACUGAACCAUUACUGUUUCUUGUACUGGGAGGACAGCAAGCCCCAAGCCCUGGGUUCCCAAGCUCUCCAGCCAACAGCCGCAGUCCUUCAGUUCCAUCGGCAGCCUCGCUUCACGCUCCUGGAGCGGCCGCUGGCCGUAGACUGUGGGGCUUCCGGGCGCUGGGAGCUCGGCUGCUGCAAACCCUGCCCGCACCGCUCCGCUUGCUGUCGCUGCUCCCAAGGCAGCUGCAGAGACUUCUCAGCCGGGAGCAAGCAGCGCUUCGGCCGCACCGACAGCCGGUGCCUCUGGACACAGCGCCGCGUCCGCGCCUCUGCAUCCCCACGGCAUCAGAGCAGGCAGCUCUGUGCAUCGAGGAGGGAACUGAGGGCCGGAGAGCUGGAGCAGCUAAGGGCCAAGAAGAUCAGGCAAGGAAAAAUCCCUGAGGCCAUGACCAGCGGACCUUUCUACGACAAGGACUGGAGUUAAUUCUGAACUUAUGAGCCUUAAUUCCAUAGCAUCUAAGUCUAUUUAGAAGCCCUGUGCCAUAAUUCCAUAGGAUCUAAGUCAAUACUGAAGUUCUGUGCCCUCAUUCCAUAAUGCCUAACUUAAUUCUGAAGUUUAAGGCCCUAAUUCCAUAGCAUUUAAGUUACUUCUGAAGUUGUGAGCCUUAAUUCCAUAGGGCCGAAGUUGAUUUUGAAGCUCUGUCCCUUAAUUCCGUAGGAUGUAAGCUAAUUCUGAAGUUAAGUGCCUUAAUUCCGUAGGAUGUAAGUUAAUUGUGAUGGCAAGUGCCUUAAUUCCAUAGGAACUAAGUUAAUUCUGAAAACAUAUGCCUUAAUUAUGUAAGGUCUAAGUUAAUUCUGAAGGAAUAUGCCUUAAUUAUGUAAGGUUUAAGUUAAUUGUGAAGGAAUAUGCCUUAAUUACAUAAGGUCUAAGUUAAUUCUUAAGGUAUAUGACUUUAAUUACAAAGGAUCUAAGUUAACUCUGAAGGCACAUGCCUUUAUUCCAUAGGUUGUAAGUUAAUUCUGAAGGUAUAUGCCUUAAUUCCAUAGGGUUGAUAUUAAUUCUGAAGGUAUAUGCCUUAAUUGCAAAGGAUCUCAUUGAAUACUGAAGGAAUAUGCCUUAAUUAUGUAGUGUCCAAGUUCAUUCUGAAGGCAUUUGCCUUAAUUAUAUAGGUUCUAUGUUAAUUCUGAAGGCAUAUGCCUUAAUUAUGUGGGGUCAAAGUUAAUUCUGAAGGCAUAUUACUUGAUUAUGUAGGGUCUAAGUUAAUUCUGAAGGUAUAUACCUUCAUUCUAUAGGAUCUGAGUUAAUUCUGAAGUCAUAUGCCUUUCAUUCCAUAAUUAAUUCCAUAAUUAAUACGGCAUAUGCCUAUUUUAUGUGGGAUCUAAGUUAAUUAUGAAGGCAUAUGCCUUAAUUGCAUUGGAUCUAAGUUAAUUCUUAGGGAAUAUGCCUUAAUUAUGUUGCAUUUAAGUUAAUUCUGAAGGCAUGUGCCUUAAUUAUGUAGGGCUUAAUUUAAAUCUGAACGCUUAUGCCUUAAUUGCAUAGGAUCUGAAUUAAUUAUAAAAGCAUACGCCUUAAUUGCAUGGGGUUGAAGUUAAUUCAGAGGGAAUAUGCCUUAAUUCCAUAGCAUCUACGUUAACUCUGAAGGCAUAUGCCUUAAUUAUGUCGGGUCUAAGUUAAUUCUGACUGCAUAUGCCUGAAUUAUACACUAUCUAGGUUAAUUGUGAAGGUAUAUGCCUUAAUUCCAUGAAAUUAAACUUUAUUCUGAAGGUAUAGGCCUUAAUUAUGUAGGGUCUCAGUUAAUUCUGAUGGCAUAUCCCUUAAUUCCAUGGGAUCUCAGUUAAUUCUCAAGGCAUAUGCCUUAAUUACGUAAGUUGUAAGUUAAGUCUGAAGGCAUUUGCAUUAAUUCCGUAGGAUCUCAGUUAAUUCUUAAGGCAUAGGCCUUAAUUCCAUAACAUCUAAGUUAAUUGUGAAGGCAUAUGCCUUAAUUCCAUAGGUUGUAAGUUAAUUCUGAAGGCAUAUGCCUUAAUUAUCUUGGGAUAAAGUUAAUUCUGAAGGCAUAUGCCUUAAUUAUCUUGGGUUUAAGUUAAAUCUGAAGGCAUAUGCCUUUAUUAUGUAGGGUGUAAGUUAAUUAUGAAGGCAUAUGCCUUCAUUAUGUAGGAUCUAAGUUAAUUGUGAAGGCAUAUGUCUUAAUCCAUAGGAUGUUAUUUAAAUCUGAAGGUAAAUGCGUUUAAUUCCAUAGGAUCGGAGUUAAUUCUGAUGGCGUAUGCCUUAAUUAUAUAGCAUCUAAGUUAAUUGUGAAGGCAUAUACCUUAAUUAUUUAGGGUCUAAGUUAAUUCUGAUGGCAUAUGCCUUAAUAAUGUAGGGUUUAAGUUAAUUCUGAAGGCAUAUGCCUUAAUUAUAUAGGAUCUAAGUUAAUUCUGAAGUCAUAUGCCUUAAUUAUGUAAGAUCUCAGUUAAUUCUGAAGGCUUAUGCCUUAAUUCCAUAGCAUCUAAUUUAAUUGUGAAGGCAUGUACCUUAAUUAUGUAGGGUCUAAGUUAAUUCUGAUGGCAUAUGCCUUAAUUCCGUAGCAUCUCAGUUAAUUCUGAAGGUAUAUGCCUGAAUUCCAUGGAUUUAAACUUUAUUCUGAAGGCAUAUGCCUUAAUUAAGUAGGAUCUAAGUUAAUUCUGAAGGCAUAUGCCUUAAUUCCAUAGCAUCUAAGUUAAUUCUGAAGGUAUAUGCCUUAAUUAUGUAGGGUCUAUGUUAAUUCUGAUGGCAUAUUCCUUAAUUCCAUAGGUCUAAGUUAAUUGUGAAGGUAUAUGCCUUUAAUUCUAUAGGAUCUCAGUUAAUUCUGAAGGCUUAUGCCUUAAUUCCAUGGGAUCUCAGUUAAUUCUGAAGGUAUCUGCCUUAAUUAUGUAGAAUCUAAGCUAAUUCUGAAGGCAUAUGCCUUGAAUUC